rnacentral:misc_RNA from 1 species
GGACUAAAAUUGAAAACGUGGCAAGAAAAUUAUUUUAGCACCUUUUUUUCUAAUUAGAUAUUUGUGUGUGUGUAUAUACACCUUUAAAAUAAUCAACUGCAGGUAUAAAGGUAUUUAUAGCACAUUGAGUGUAUAUUAUCUGUAGCAGAUACAAGCAAUUUUUACAAUUGGAUAGAAUAUGGACAAGUAUAGAGAGUAGUGAGGUUAGAAUUCUCUAAAGAAAACUUUUGUGGUCCUGUUUCUCUCUACGAUCAUAAAAAAUUGUAUUAAAGUAAAGCAUGUCGGAUAGUUCUGACGAAGAGUUAAAUUAUGGCGAUGAUAAUGAGAAAACACCGUGGAUUUUAUAUAAGGACCGCGAUGAAUGGAGUGACGUGACUCCUUUACCUCAGGACGAUGGUCCUCAUCCCGUUGUAGCAAUUGCAUAUUCCGAAAAGUUUAAGGAUGCCUAUGAUUAUUUCCGUGCCAUUCUAAAAUCAGGUGAAAAGUCAGAACGUACGUUGGCUUUAACAGAAACUUGUAUAUGGCUUAAUCCAGCCAAUUACACUGUAUGGCAAUACAGAAGAGAGAUACUUAAAGCAUUGGAAAAGAACUUAUAUGAGGAGUUAAAAUAUACAGAUCGAAUGAUAAAGUACAAUUCUAAAAAUUAUCAAGUUUGGCAUCAUAGAAAAGUUAUAGUUGAAUGGUUGCAGGAUCCUAUAGAAGAAUUAACAUUUAUAGAAACUGUUUUAUGUAAGGAUGCAAAAAAUUAUCAUGCUUGGCAACAUCGUCAGUGGUGUAUACAAACUUUUAAUUUAUAUGAUAAAGAACUGGAAUAUGUAGAGCAGUUGAUAAAUGAUGAUGUUCGUAAUAAUUCUGCUUGGAACCAACGUUAUUUUGUGAUAAGUAAUACAACCAAGUUUGAGCAAGAGGUGAUAGAUAGAGAAAUUGAUUAUGCACUGGAAAAAAUAGAUCUAGUAAGAGGAAAUGAAAGUGCUUGGAAUUACUUAAGAGGAAUAUUGUUACAUGAUAGUAAAGGCUUGGGUUACAAUGAUAAAGUAAGAAAUAAAUGUGAAGAACUAUAUAAAGAAGGAUGCCGCACUAAUCAUUUGUUGGCCUGUAUAAUUGACAUUUGUCAGGAAAGAAGUUUGUCUGAUGAAACUCCAUCCUCUUUGUUUCACAUUAAUUCUGCUUAUGAGCUGUGUAAGGAUUUGUCAAAAAAAUAUGAUACAAUAAGAUGGCGAUAUUGGGAUUAUAUUGCUAAUGAGAUAACACUAAAAUUAAAAACAAAAUCUUCAAAUUAAAAACUAAAGCAAACCUAUAGUGUGUUGUUCAGAGUUUUAGACAGUGUUUUUACAUAUCAAUCACAAUAUGGCAGCACUGAUAUGGUUGAUACAUUUUGGCCUCUUUUGCCUACAAAUAUUACAUAACAUAAUAAAUUUAAACAAAUAUUACAUAUUUCAUAAUAGCAAAAUUUUCCAACAAUUUUUUUAGAAUUAAUUUAUUUCAAACAAAGAAUAAUACCAUUAUUUAAGACCACAACUAGUAUUUGUUAAUUAAUUAUACCAGAAUUA